rnacentral:rRNA from 1 species
UACGUCCGGGGCUACACACGUGUUACAAUGGGGGGUACAGAAGGCAGCUAGCGGGUGACCGUAUGCUAAUCCCAAAAGCCUCUCUCAGUUCGGAUCGAAGUCUGCAACCCGACUUCGUGAAGCUGGAUUCGCUAGUAAUCGCGCAUCAGCCACGGCGCGGUGAAUACGUUCCCGGGCCUUGUACACACCGCCCGUCAAGCCAUGGGAGCCGGGGGUACCUGAAGUACGUAACCGCAAGGAUCGUCCUAGGGUAAAACUGGUGACUGGGGCUAAGUCGUAACAAGGUAGCCGUACCGGAAGGUGCGGCUGGAACACCUCCUU